UGGGGAAUAUUGCACAAUGGGGGAAACCCUGAUGCAGCAACGCCGCGUGAAGGAAGAAGGCCUUUGGGUCGUAAACUUCUGUUCUAAGGGAAGAUAAUGACGGUACCUUAGGAGCAAGUCCCGGCUAACUACGUGCCAGCAGCCGCGGUAAUACGUAGGGGGCAAGCGUUAUCCGGAAUCAUUGGGCGUAAAGAGUACGUAGGUGGUUACCUAAGCAAGGGGUUUAAGGCAAUGGCUCAACCAUUGUUCGCCCCUUGAACUGGGCUACUUGAGUGCAGGAGAGGAAAGCGGAAUUCCUAGUGUAGCGGUGAAAUGCGUAGAUAUUAGGAGGAACACCAGUGGCGAAGGCGGCUUUCUGGACUGUAACUGACACUGAGGUACGAAAGCGUGGGGAGCAAACAGG
rnacentral:rRNA from 2 species